AUGGGUCCUGUGCUCCCAAAUCGUUGGAUGCGUCGUUCACCUGGGUGUUUGGUAAGAAUGCAGUGCGAUGUUGCUCUCUGUCGCUCGCUGAGCGUAGCCCGAGGUUAAGCUUGGGCGCCCUCACAAAACCAGUACCACUCCGGUGUCUUCGACUUUGCCGGCUUCGCCUUUCCCAAGCCUGUUUUUUGCUGCUCGCGGCCCCACUGCGUUCUCAACAGGCCGCGUCCACCCACCGGCCGACGUGGCCCCGCCUACCUCGCGCCCACUGGGGGCGGAGCCUGCGGCGCCUCUCUGACGUCACUUCCAGCGGACACAGAAGCGCCGUUGUCGGCCGGUAGCUUUGGUUAGGGAGUCGUGAUGGGACCGCGCUCAGCUUAACCCUCUGGCCGACGUGGGCCGAGGGGGCCGGCCCGGGCUGCUGUGGACCAGACGAGCGGAGAGUGCGGAGCGGCUUCUGGGCCAGCGCUAACGAGCCCUGGCAGUGCGCACCUCUGGUGCCAGUGUCGCCCCGCCUCUGGGAUAGAAUCCGCCCCAGCUCUCCGGGCCUGGGACCCGGCGGCCGCUUUCGCCAGUCCGUCCGGCCGAUCCGCAUUAGGUCCGGGAUAACUAGGUGGAGUAGGUGUGCGGCCCGCCGCCUGACAGCCCGCUCGCUGUUUCUUUAAGCCUUCGCCUGCGUCUUCGCGGUCGUCUCCCGUUCUGCUGGAAAGCUGACGUGGGGCAAUCCGUUCAGACCCUCCAUGGAGAAGUUUGGGAUGAAUUUCGGGGGCGGCCCGAGCAAGAAAGACUUGCUGGAGACUAUAGAGACGCAGAAGAAGCAGCUUCUCCAGUACCAGGCACGGCUCAAGGAUGUGGUCCGUGCCUAUAAAAGCCUGCUGAAGGAGAAAGAGGCAUUAGAGGCCAGCAUCAAGGUGCUGUCGGUAUCCCACGAGGCAGAUGUGGGCCUCGCAGGUGUCCAGCUCCCAGGCCUCACCUUGCCUGACUCUGUGGAUGAUCGGUGCUCCACUCACAGCGAGGAUAGCACUGGGACCGCCACUAGCUUGGAUACUGCGGCCAGUCUCACCAGCACCAAGGGUGAGUUUGGGGUAGAAGAUGACAGACCGGCCCGUGGACCACCACCUCCAAAGUCCGAAGAGGCCAGUGGGUCCGAGAGUGGCGUUAGCAGUAGCAGUGGGGAUGGGCCAUUUGCAGGUGGGGAGGUGGACAAAAGACUGCACCAGCUGAAGACUCAGUUGGCUACUUUGACCAGUUCUUUGGCCACAGUCACUCAGGAGAAGUCCCGCAUGGAGGCUUCUUACCUGGCUGACAAGAAGAAGAUGAAACAGGACUUAGAGGAUGCCAGUAACAAGGCGGAGGAGGAGAGGGCCCGCCUGGAGGGAGAAUUGAAGGGGCUGCAGGAACAAAUAGCAGAAACCAAAGCCCGGCUUAUCACGCAGCAGCAUGAUCGGGCCCAAGAGCAGAGUGACCAUGCCUUGAUGUUGCGUGAGCUCCAGAAGCUGCUGCAGGAGGAGAGGACCCAGCGCCAGGACUUGGAGCUUAGGUUAGAAGAGACCCGAGAAGCUCUGGCAGGACGAGCAUACGCAGCUGAACAGAUGGAAGGAUUUGAACUGCAGACCAAGCAGCUGACCCGUGAGGUGGAGGAGCUGAAAACUGAACUGCAGGCCAUUCGAGAUGAGAAGAAUCAGCCAGACCCCCGGCUGCAAGAACUUCAGGAAGAGGCUGCCCGCCUUAAGAGCCAUUUCCAGGCUCAGUUACAGCAGGAAAUGAGAAAGACAGCUCUUGCAGAGGAUCAACUCCGUCAGCAAUCUCAGGUGGAAGAACAGAGGGUGGCAGCCCUGGAGAAUCAAAUAUCCGAGGUAUCUGAGCUGCUAGGUACCUACGAGAAAGCCAAGCAGAAGGACCAGCUGGCCAUUCAGAAGCUGAAGGAGCGCAUUCUGCAGCUGGACCUGGAGAACAAGACACUGGCUCUAGCAGCCUCCAGCAGGUCCCCUUUAGACAGCCAUGGAGAGGAGUCCAGUCUGGAUGUCAAUGUCCUGAAAGAUAAGAUGGAGAAGCUGAAGAGGCUGCUGCAGGUUGCGGCCAGGAAAAGCCAGGUGACCCUGGAUGUGGAGAAGCUCUGUGACCUGGAGAUAAUGCCCAGCUCGGAGGCUGCUGAUGGGGAGAAGGCUACUGCACUGUAUUACCAACAGGAGCUGAAACAGCUGAAGGAAGAGUUUGAGAGGUACAAGAUGAGAGCCCAGGUCGUCCUCAAAAGCAAGAAUACCAAAGAUGGUAACCUAGGAAAGGAGCUGGAGGCAGCCCAGGAACAGCUUGCAGAGCUGAAGGAGAAGUAUAUCUCCCUGCGGCUCUCCUGCGAGGAGCUGGAGCACCAACACCAGCAGGAGGCUGAUGACUGGAAGCAGGAGCUGGCCCGGCUGCAGCAGCUCCACCGGCAGGAGCUGGAGCGGUGCCAGCUGGACUUCAGGGACCGCACACUGAAACUGGAGGAGGAGCUGCACAAGCAGCGGGAUCGUGCCCUGGCUGUGCUGACGGAGAAGGACUUGGAACUGGAGCAACUGCGUUCUGUGGCCUUGGCCUCUGGGCUGCCAGGACGCAGAAGUCCUGUGGGUGGUGGCGGUCCUGGGGACCCAGCUGACACAUCAUCCUCUGAUAGCCUGACCCAAGCAUUACAACUUGCAGCGGCCAGCGAGCCCACUUUCUUUCUGUACGCUGAACAACUGGCCCGCAAGGAGGUGGAGAUCACAUCACUGAGGAAGCAGAAGCACAGGCUGGAGGUCGAGGUGCAUCAGCUGCAGGAUCGGCUGCUGGAGGAGGGCGAACGGCAUCGCGAGGAGGUUGCAGCCCUGCAGAGCCACAUCGAAAAGAACAUCAGAGACCAGAGCAGGGAGGGAGCCAAUCUGGAGUACCUCAAAAACAUCAUCUACCGCUUCCUGACCUUACCUGACUCCCUGGGCCGCCAGCAGACUCUCACAGCCAUACUGACUAUCUUGCACUUCAGUCCAGAGGAGAAACAAGUGAUAAUGCGACUCCCAACCAGUGCCAGCUGGUGGCCUUCUGGCAAGAGAUGAUGCCAUUUUCACGAAUUCCUGGAAUUUCUGUGCCUCUUUUAUGUGGGAAAGGGCAGGCUCUGGUUUCUGCUGCCUCUUCUCUUACAUUGUCAUUUAUUUCUUCACUGUGUUGAGCUGGGAGGAGUCUUCAAUGUGGGAUGGGAUUUUCUGCCAAAUGCCGUUAAUGCUGCUUUAUCCUUAGGCCCUAGAGAUACUGAAAGUCCUGGGGCAGUAUCUUCUGAUGGUGUGCAUGUGAGGAGAAGAUGAGGUUAGGACUGAGAAGUGCAAAAGUUGGAACAGUGGCAGUCUGGAGACCUCAGAUGGAUGGUUUUUGGAGCAAAAAAACCCCUAAUUACAUAAAUAGCCAGCGUAGUAACUGAAACAAGACUGGAGUGCAGUGGUGUGAACAUGGCUCACUGGACCUCCUGGGCUCAAGAAAUCCUCUAACCUCAGCCUCCUGAGUAGCUUGGAUUACAGGCUAUCUUGUCCUGUGGCUUCCCAUUGUGUUUGGCCAGUGAAGAGCCCUGGAAGAAGAUCUGGGGGAAGGGAGCAAGGAGAGUGAGGUCAGGCUAUUUAUUCCUCUAGCCCUCUGUUUAUGUAGUAUCACUUAGGGCUGACUGUGUCCUUCAACUGAAGAUUACAGCUCCUGUCUCCAAGUUUCAAGAACUACUCCCUCCAUUCCCCAUCAAGCCUAGGGGUGAUAAUGUAUCUCACUGUUAUUAGCCCAGUAGGGCUGAACUGUCCUUUGUGGUUUCCCUAAAUCCUGCCUUUUAUUAAACUUGUCUCAUGACCCAGGGAGGGUGCCAUACACUUCUUGCUAGCAUCCUGACUUACGCUGGAGCCAUUGGCAUAUACCUGAUAGUAAAGCUGUAGGCCUGGAUGAAAGCCACUAAGGAGAUCAGAGGACAGAGCUUGAGGCAUAUCAGUUUUUAGAGGUGGGCAGGGAAGGAGGAGCUGGCAUAGGAGAUAUGAGGGGGGAAGCCCAUUAAGUAGGGAUUAAACCAGGUGAGCAUGGAGUCACCAAAGCCCAAACAAGAAAGCACAUCAAGAAGCAGGGGUUGCCGUGUCAAAAGCUACCUGCUGAGCGGUCAGGGGUUGUAGAAACAGAGAACCCACCAUCAGAUUUGGCCAUCAGUGAACUUUAAUGUGAAUGGUAUAGAUUUUGCAGAGCUCAGCUGCUUAAAUUUGUCAGAGUCCCACAGAUUUGGCCAUCAGUGAACUUUAAUGUGAAUGGUAUAGACUUUAUGGAGCUCAGCUGCUUAAAUUUGUGAAUCCCACACCUUCAAUAGGAUUUAUGGGUUCUUGUGUGGUUGGCCCUUAGUUUAGUCCUCUGGCCUCUCCUCCUCCAACUCCCUGCCAAUCACACUGCUCCUCAGCCCCUCAAAGUCUCUGCUCUGGCUGAGGCCUCCAGGGCUUUGCUCUUGCUGUUAUUUUCUACCUGGGACACUCUUUCCCCUAUCUGUCACUUCUGGCUCACUCCUACCUCAGGUCUCUUAGAACCUUCCUGACCCUUGAGUCUGGAGGAAGUGACCUCCUAAGUAUAGUUGAUUCUCAUUAUCCACAGUAGUUACAUUCUAGAAAGUUGCCAUGAGCACUGCAUUAGCGAAUACUGAGCUAUGGUUCCUAGAGGUAAUACAGAGUUAGGUUCCUGUAAGCUUCUGGUCAAUGCAUUGUCAUCAACUGAUUAAAGCAUAAUCUGUUCUACGUGUGUUUCUGUUUAAAGGCAUAACCUUGUUCUGUGUGUAUUUCUUUUUUAAUAUGUUGUCGAUUCAUUAACAUUGAACCCAUAGUGAACAGCACCAUGAGUCACACCUGAAUGAAGCUUAUCCAAACACCUGUUUUGCUCCACAGGGCACAUCACAGUUUUCUCAUGCUUAGAAACACUAGACAGUGCUUCAGCACUAAGUGGGGGCCAUUAUAAACAGUGAAAUCACCAAGAAAAAGCAUAAGGAUACAAAAAAAUGUGGCACUAAAUGGACCUUGAAAAGGGCACUUGUUUAUAGUGUGAGAAUGGAAAUAAAAAGGCAAAAUGUCACCUCGUUCAGUCUCAUCGGGAAUAUGCACAUGGGGUGACUCACAUUUUUAUUGCCACUUUGUGCGUGUUUGUGAAUGACCUUGACAGCACUGGGAGUAUGGACUUGGGGGUUACAAAUACAUGUUAGCAAGUAGGAGAAUUUGCAAAUACAGUAUCCAUGGAUGAGGAUAGGCUAUUCUCAGUGCACCUGUUAAUUACCUCACUAAGACCCUUUCUACACUAUAAUAGCAAAAGAUCCAUCACUUACUAGCUGUGUGACUUUGGGCUAGUUCACCUCUCUGUGCCUCAACAGUAUCAUCAAUAGUAUGACAGUAAUAAUAAUACUUAGCUCUUAGAGUUGUUGCAA